AGGGCAUGCGGUGAAUGCCUAGGCGCUAAGAGCCGAUGAAGGACGCGGUAAGCUGCGAAAAGCCGUGCCGAGACGCAAGCAGUCAGUGACACACGGAUCUCCGAAUAGGAAAACCCCACUGGAGUAAUGUCCAGUGACCCUGUACUGAAUACAUAGGUAGAGGGAGGCAACCCGGGGAACUGAAACAUCUAAGUACCCGGAGGAAAAGAAAGAAAACUCGAUUCCCCCAGUAGCGGCGAGCGAAGCGGGAAGAGCCCAAACCAGUUUCGGCUGGGGUUCGGACACUCAUCACGUAAGGGAAGGUUAGUCGAAUGGCAUGGGAAGGCCAGCCACAGACGGUUAGAGCCCAGUAGACGAAAACCCGAACUUAUAGAGUGUAUCCAGAGUACCACGAAGCACGUGGAAUUUCGUGGGAACGCGCGGGGACCACCCCGUAAGGCUAAAUACUCCUUAGCGACCGAUAGAGCAUAGUACCGUGAGGGAAAGGUGAAAAGCACCUCGGAAGAGGAGUGAAAGAGAACCUGAAACCGCAUGCUUACAAUCAGUCACAGCUCCAUAAGAGAGUAGUGGCGUACUUUUUGUAGAACGGACCGGCGAGUUACGUUAACAAGCGAGGUUAAGGAAACGGAGCCAAAGCGAAAGCGAGUCUGAAUAGGGCGAAAGUUUGUUGACGUAGACCCGAAACCAGGUGAUCUACCCAUGAGCAGGUUGAAGCGUUGGUAAAACAACGUGGAGGACCGAACCAGGGAUCGUUGAAAAGAUCUUGGAUGACUUGUGGGUAGGGGUGAAAUUCCAAUCGAACCUGGAGAUAGCUGGUUCUCCUCGAAAUAGCUUUAGGGCUAGCCUUAUUUUGAGCUUAACGAAGGUAGAGCACUGAAUGGGUACGGGGGCUUCACCGCCUACCAAACCUUAUCAAACUCCGAAUGUCGUUAAGCAUGAAUAGGAGUCAGACCAUGGGGGAUAAGCUUCAUGGUCAAAAGGGAAAGAGCCCAGACCGCCGUCUAAGGUCCCAAAAUCAUUGUUAAGUGGAAAAGGAUGUGAAAUCGCUUAGACAACCAGGAUGUUGGCUUAGAAGCAGCCACUCAUUAAAAGAGUGCGUAAUAGCUCACUGGUCCAGGGGUUUUGCGCCGAAAAUGUAACGGGGCUCAAACAAUGUACCGAAGACGCGGAAUUACGAAUGUAAUUGGUAGAGGAGCGUUCUCAUUGGGGAGAAGCGAUACCGAGAGGAGUCGUGGACUAAUGAGAAGAGAGAAUGCCGGUAUAAGUACACGAUAAGGCAGGUGAGAAUCCUGCCCGCCGGAAGUCUAAGGGUUCCUGGGGAAGGCUCGUCCACCCAGGGUAAGUCGGGGCCUAAGGCAAGGCCGAAAGGCGUAGUCGAUGGGAAACAGGUAGAUAUUCCUGUACCACCGCUAUAUGAUGACGACGCAGUGACGCAGAAAGGUAGAGCGAGCGGCCAGUUGGUGAGCCGUUCAAGUGAGUAGGGUGUUUGGUAGGCAAAUCCGCCAAACGGAAGCCUGAGACACGAUGACGAGUGAAAAAUAGUAACGAAGUCCUUGAUCCUCCGCUGCCAAGAAAAGCUGCUAAGGAAUAUAGAGGUGCCCGUACCGCAAACCGACACAGGUAGACAGGUAGAGAAUACUAAGGCGCGCGAGAUAACUCUUGUUAAGGAACUCUGCAAAAUGAACCCGUAACUUCGGGAGAAGGGUUGCUGACCAUGGUGAGUAUGGACAAUACAGAGCUGAGGUCAGUCGCAGUGAAAAGGUCCAGGCGACUGUUUAGCAAAAACACAGGUCAUUGCAAAAUCGCAAGAUGAAGUAUAAUGGCUGACGCCUGCCCGGUGCUGGAAGGUUAAGGGGAAGAGUGCAAGCUUUGAACCGAAGCCCCAGUAAACGGCGGCCGUAACUAUAACGGUCCUAAGGUAGCGAAAUUCCUUGUCGGGUAAGUUCCGACCCGCACGAAAGGCGAAACGAUCUGGACGCUGUCUCAACAAGGGACUCGGUGAAAUUGAAAUUCCGGUAAAGAUGCCGGAUACCUGCGAUAGGACAGAAAGACCCCAUGGAGCUUUACUGUAGCCUGAUAUUGGGUUUCGGAUAUUCAUGUACAGGAUAGGUGGGAGACUGAGAAUCGAGGACGCCAGUUUUCGAGGAGUCAAUGUUGGGAUACCACCCUUAAAGUUUGGAAUUCUAACCAGGAGUCUUGAAGCAGAUUAUUGGA
rnacentral:rRNA from 1 species